rnacentral:rRNA from 1 species
UCCAGACUCCUACGGGAGGCAGCAGUGGGGAAUUUUGGGCAAUGGGCGCAAGCCUGAUCCAGCUAUUCCGCGUGUGGGAUGACGGCCCUCGGGUUGUAAACCACUUUAGUAGAGAACGAAAAGGAGCUAUCGAAUAAAUAGCUCUGCUGACGGUACUCUAAGAAUAAGCACCGGCUAACUACGUGCCAGCAGCCGCGGUAAUACGUAGGGUGCGAGCGUUAUCCGGAUUUAUUGGGUUUAAAGGGUGCGCAGGCGGUCUGUUAGGUCAGCGGUCAAAGCCGGGGGCUCAACCCCGGCACGCUGUUGAAACUGGCAGUCUCGAGUUGGAGAGAAGUAUGCGGAAUGCGCGGUGUAGCGGUGAAAUGCAUAGAUAUCGCGCAGAACUCCGAUUGCGAAGGCAGCAUGCCGGCUCCACACUGACGCUGAGGCACGAAAGCGUGGGUAUCGAACAGGAUUAGAUGCCCUCGUAC